UUUUAACCCAGAAACGAAGGCAUCUUUCAAGGCUCCAUCUGAGAGAUCCAGAAGAGAGGCCGACAAUUUUUCAAAGUGGAAUCUGUAGUCGCCAACGGAACCAUGCUGCCAGGGAAAAAGGAGUUCCUCAUACGUUGUGCCAUCCUAAGUCAGUCGGAACCUUUCAAUCAGUGCUUCUUUAAACUCCUCCUAGCUACCGAACGAUCCCCUGGUCUGUUCCCAUUGAAGCCAUGUCCGUGCUGGUCCUUCCAUACACACGCCGGCUGCUGGGACUUUGUCUUCUGCUCUGACGCGAUUGACGGAGAAGUAUUUGCCUGCCCUAAAAAUCCAUCCGACCGGAUCUUCGCCGCCAAAUAUUGGUAUCUCAAUUCGUCAUGUAUAGACAUCACAACCUCUGCCCCCAAUGACUUCUCCUCCUCGCAGAUCGUGCCUCCCUUAGCUCAAUUUGGAUGCCCUUUAAUUCUUCUCUGACCGCUCCCAUUUCUGUUACUUCUUUCUCCAGCAGGAGCUGCUCUGAACCUGCUCUCACCUCUGCUUCAACCGUGCUGCAAUUAUGAUGGAAUUGAGAAUAAUUGGGAUGUAAUGAAUUGAAUAGAAUAGAAUGAAUAACUACUAAUUUUUUGAUUGCAGAAA